UCCUCCUCUUUCUCCACCCAUUCCCUUCUCCUUUCUCCUUCCCUUCCUUCCCAUCCAUUUCUCUUCCUCAUCCUUCUUCUCCAAGCCAUCUAUAAACCUUCUCCUCUUCUCCACUUUUAUCCUUUCUUACCUUGCCCAUCUUCUUUCUCUCCAUCAUCUUCUCCUCCUCUUUCUCCUCCUCACUCCUAUUCAGGGGCGCAAAUGGAUCAGGUC
rnacentral:lncRNA from 1 species